rnacentral:rRNA from 1 species
UAAGGAAUAUUGGUCAAUGGACGAAAGUCUGAACCAGCCAUGCCGCGUGGGUGAAGAAGGCCUUCGGGUUGUAAAGCCCUUUUGUCCGGAAAGAAAAGUUCUGGGUUAAUAACCCAGGAUCAUGACGGUACCGGAAGAAUAAGCACCGGCUAACUUCGUGCCAGCAGCCGCGGUAAUACGAAGGGUGCAAGCGUUACUCGGAAUUACUGGGCGUAAAGCGUGCGUAGGUGGUGGUUUAAGUCAGAUGUGAAAGCCCUGGGCUCAACCUGGGAACUGCAUUUGAUACUGGAUCACUAGAGUGCGGUAGAGGAUGGCGGAAUUCCCGGUGUAGCAGUGAAAUGCGUAGAGAUCGGGAGGAACAUCUGUGGCGAAGGCGGCCAUCUGGACCAGCACUGACACUGAGGCACGAAAGCGUGGGGAGCAAACA